rnacentral:rRNA from 1 species
GACUACGACGUUGAUAGGCCGGGUGUGUAAGCGCAGCGAUGCGUUGAGCUAACCGGUACUAAUGACCCGUGAGGCUUAACCUU